CAUUAAUAAUCUUUAAUAAGGUUCCAUGCAGGUUUACACGCGAGGCAUGCUGGGUAACUGAGACUGAAGCCUUUAAUAUCUCAAUACAAUAAUAAUAAUAAUAAUAAUAAUAAUAAUAAUAAUAAUAAUAAUACUAAUAAUAAUGGGUUUGGGGAACAUGUGGGCUGUGGUCAGUAUACACACCGUGGGGGUGGAGAAGGUGGCUGUGGUGGAGGAAGAGAGGGUGGUAAAGGAGGAAAAGGAGGGGUGGAGAUGGAGGAAGUAGAGGGUGGAGAAAGUAGAGAAAAGGAAGGGGUGAUGUGGUGGAGAAGAUGGAGGAAGAGGAGUAGAGGUGGUGUAGGAGAAGGUGGAGGAAGUGAAGAGGGUGGAGGAAGAGACUUAGGUGUAAAAGUUGGAUGGGGUGUAGAAAGUGGAGGAACAUAAUUGGGUGGAGAAGGUGGAUGGGGAGGAGGAGAAGGUGGUGGAGCAUGUGAAGAGAAGGUGGAUAGGAAUCACGUGCACGUGCUUAUUAAAGUUAGAAACGCAGUAACGCUCUUGGACGUAUAAAAGUGUUCUCUGUGUUCGGAGGUUCUCGUGGUUUUCCUGAGGUCUGUACGGUUCCGCAUGAGAGAAGUAAAACACCGGCCUCGUCCCAAAUCAGCACUUUAACACUCCCUCAUACACGUCCCCUUACUGCUUCACACUCGUUCUCCUUCAGGAGUUAAAAUUACCCAGAAUGCACUGCCAUGUCCCCCUGAAAAACACUAACCCUGCUCACUAGUUAGUGCACUACUGACUGACUGAGUUCUGAGGUCAUGAGGAAAGUAGCACACAGUUCAAACCAGGCCAGGUACCCAUAAUGCACUCUGGUGCUUGGAACAGGAAGAAGGAAAUAGGAAGUAGGGGGAUUUCUUGCCAAAAAAGAAGGAUGUAGCUCUUUUAUAAACAUGCGCCAUUAAAUAUUUUUUUAAACUAACAUUUGAUUGUCUGUAGCAGCUGAUGAUACUGCGCUAAUUUUAAUCCACAAGCUAGUUAGCAUACUAGCACUGUAGGACUGCUAGUUAGCGGGUGAAUCAUAAAGUUUAAAGUUAAAUUUAUAAUUAAUGAGAAAACUCUGCACAGACCCUUCGUUAACUACACUAUUACUUAGCUGGCAAUCAUUCUAGUCAGCAUGCUAGUGAGGUAGCACUCCAGUGUGCAGGACAUCUCCUCCCCCCACCCCAGCCUCACCCUCACCCGAAGGCAGGGGUACGUUCUAUUGGCUGUAAUCGUUUACGUGAAGACGUAAUCUGUUUAAAACUAUUACAAUCAUUAACGUGUCACUAAAGCUAAUCAAAUUAAAAAUUCUAAUAAAUUCGCUAGCUAGCUGAGGAGCGGUCACGGGAUUAUCUCAGAUAAACACAAAUAACUAGCUAGCUAAACGGUAUCAACUACAGCUAGCUUGUUGUACUAGCAGUGCACUAUUGAAACACAUGAGACAGCUAGCUUGAAAAUAAGGAGUAGCAUUAGAUAGCGAGCGCUAUGCUGAGGCAGUCAACACAGUUGCUAAUGGGAAACUAGCAUGUCAGCUAAAUAAUGCAUUUAAACAUCACUGUGACAAAAUGUAGUUUUUGAUAAAUGUAUACAUUUCUAUUAAAUCAGAUUUUCAGAUGAAAAAACCCUGAUUUGUGAGGAUGUUUAUAUAAGGGAAUAGUGUGAUGUCCAUCGUCACGGAUUACAGGAUGAUGACGUGCUAACUCUCACGCUAAGCUAGCUACAUUUCUGUUUAAAAGCAGAUGUAAAUCGAGACUCUGACAGUGACACGUUGCUGCACGUGACUAACAUCAGCUAGUUUACUAGCAGUGAGCUAACCAACUGGCACUAAGCUAGUUAGCAUUAGUGGCAUUGAAGCUAGCUGUUUGUUGUUGUGGCUUCUGAGGUGGAGUGUGCGCUUUGAAGGGGAAGUGGAUGAGGGAAUGUUAAAGACUGUAAUGGAAAAUGAGGUCGGAUUCAAAUACACAACAUAUGCUAAUAAAUGCUAAUAGACACUACAACAAUAAACAAAUAAAAAUAAACAUUCAAAUAUUCUUAAAAAUCCCGUAUGAGUUACUGCACAAUACAUUAGUGCUUAUGUAAGUGUGUGUGUGUGUGUGUGUGUAUAUAUAUAUAUAUAUGAGGUUCUCUGGUUGAUGAAGCUGCUCUUCAUGUUUAUGGCACCACAAUGUCUCACGGUGUGGGUAUGUGUACGACACACACACCUGCUCCCUCGUUCCCUGUAAAUACUUGUGUGUGUGUGUGUGUGU